UGUAUUUAAUAUCCGCAUUCAUGUGUGUGACACACGAAUGCAAAGUCAUUUUAAACUUGUUCUUUUUCUUUUAAGAUAUACACAGUAAGAAGCGUUCGUUGUCUUAAUGUUGUAUUGCUUGAACUCAGUAACAGCAGUAGAGAUUGGCGCAUUAUGACGCCAUAGUUAUGAUGCGUCUUGAGAGUUUCAACUGAGUGAAGCUGUUCAGAUCAGUUCAGCAGUUUGUGAUCGCAAUGAAUAGCCGAAAAAGCAAGAUGUUGACAAGGCUGACCAUGACACCUACUUUAGAGGUCCCUUCCAAAAACCAGUUACCUCCAUUCAUCCCUAACAUGAGGCCUCCAUCCCGACACAUGAAGAGGAGGUGGCAAAAAUGUGUUUUAUUUCCCGACAUUGGAAACUCAGUGAAUUCUGUAACCAGAGGAAACCCUUUACCAUCCAUCCCCGGCAUUCCAGCAGCACCCAAGCUCAAUCAGCACGGGAAGACCAGAGAUGCUGCUACCUUUCUCUCUGCCACUGACAGGGCAAGGCUUUUUGGCAUUAACAAGUGGUAUUAGAGUCCAGGGGAGAUAAAAUCCAAAAAAAAAAAAAGAAGAAAAAAGAAAUCUGUGCAACAAAGGUCUGUGCAAAAGGCAAAUGCAUAAAUCUGUGCAUUUUAAAAAAAUAAAUGGUGCUUAAAAAAAACUGUUUCAGAUUUGGUUCAUUGUCAUUUUGUGUGUGACUGUUCGAAACUUGGGAGGGGACCUAAUAGAAUUGAAUUUCUAGCGUGUAUACAAAAUAAAGGUGAAACAGAACGAAACCUUAUCCCUGUUCACAGCCUGGUCCAGCUUCCUUUGAACCACACUUCAUACAUCCC